ensembl:lncRNA
CUGGGGGAUUCUGGGAGGUAUUAGGGGCAGAAGGUGGGCCUGCUGGGGGAUUCUGGGAGGUGUUAGGGGCAGAAGGUGGCGAUUCUGGGGGAUUCUGGGAGGUGCUAGGGGCAGAAGGUGGGUCUCCUGGGGGAUUCUGGGAGGUGUUAGGGGCAGAAAGUGGGCCUCCUGGGGGAUUCUGGGAGGUGUUAGGGGCAGAAGGUUGGCCUCCUGGGGGAUUCUGGGAGGUAUUAGGGGCAGAAGGUGGGCCUGCUGGGGGAUUCUGGGAGGUGUUAGGGGCAGAAGGUGGGGAUUCUGGGGGAUUCUGGGAGGUGCUAGGGGCAGAAGGUGGGUCUCCUGGGGGAUUCUGGGAGGUGUUAGGGGCAGAAGGUGGGCCUCCUGGGGGAUUCUGGGAGGUGUU